CCCGCAUGUGGUAUUUUGUGGAAGAGCCACACUCAAGGGGCCGCAGUACGUGAAUGAACGAACCGUUGACCUUAGUGAGAUUUUCAAAAUAGAUGGCGUCUUUACUAAUGAGAUCAAUUCCUGCGCUGGGAGAGCCUGGACCAAGUGUCCUCAACACUCCUUCCCAAUCUGACAUCCUGUGAGAACAAGAACGGUCAGACGGUCCAAUUGUACGAGUCAGGAAGUUUCUCUUCCUCCAGGGCAGCGAGAAAGGUCAAGGAACUGGAACCGUGAAGCCGUGGCUGGAAAAAGAAUGAAAAGCCCUUUUCGCAAUCUCCCCAAGUCCUCCCAAAGAAACACACCCUAGAACUGGAUGCAUCUUCCAGUUUUGAAUUACGGUCUUGGACAAUACUGGGUCUUCUAGUCCUGCCCUGGACCUUUGACCUCGUGUGAAAAGCAGAAAGGCCUGGUGUGCCCACCGAGAUGCGGGCAUACGUUUUCCGAACGCGCCAUCUCCUGGCCACAGGCGGAAACCCACGCGCAGAUCUAGGUUCCUUGUUUGUUUACAGUGAGGCGCCAGUCCCCGCCACCCGGGAAGCUGGGCAGGAAACAGUCUUGCUCCCCAGAAUUCAAUCCUGGCCUCCCGGAGCCGACAGCUUGAAAUGCAUUCAGAUUCAACGACGGGACCGUUUCCAAAGUUCAGAGCUUGUUUAUUUGGAAGCACAUCUUUCUACCACGGAGCGGUUGCUCGUGCAUCUCUAAUGUGGUAGGUAGCCCCUUUGGAAAGGGGACUGGGAUGAGAGCCUUUCCUAAAAGUGCUGAGCUGCCAUCGUCAUUGAUGGGCAAGGCAUUUGUUUUUGUUUGGGGGGAUUUAUUUAUUUGUUUAUUGGUGUCUGAACGCGCUCAGAACUAUUUCUGUGACUCUGAUAAAGAGAGGUUGAGAGAGAGGAAGAGGGAGAACCAGGAUCUGAAACCCCAAUCUAUGUACUGUGACCAAAGGCUGACCAAGGGCACAGGCAAAGGAGCUAUUCCAGGCCGACCCUGAUUUGUGGGUCCUUGGACAGGGUCCAUGAACUGCUUCGCUAAAUUGUAUCUGAAAACCCCAGUUGGCAGGGUUUUUUCUGGAAUAGAGAGCCACCAGGACCACUUGGUCGUAAGGUACAGGUUGAAGUCACACAGCAUGCCCCCACGAAUGUUUCUCGGGACACCGGCCCCUCCAGAUGCUUGGCCAAAAAGAAAAAAAAAGAUGUUUUCACUCAAAAAAGCGAGUGACAUGCUCUGGGUCAUGUCUGCCUUCUAGGAGACUCCCGAGGCACACGAACUUCCGAAGGGUCUGAGACAUCUGACUGAAGUAAAGGAACAUUUUUGUGACAAAUUAAUGUGGCUUCAAUCAACGUUUCAAAACUUCAUUGGCCGAGGAAUACUCAUGUAGCGACCGUCUAACUGGACCUCCAGGAGCCAGGGCCCCCAGGAACGGUCUCGGGAAACUGCUCAUCAACAAGCAGGUACGGGAGUCUUUUGUUGGUCUCCCAGCACCAGGAGAGCCCAGCCUCAACACGAGGACCAUGCGCGUUGCCGCGAGACCGUGAAAACAGCUCUAUGGCUGGAGAACAGAGCGGAGAGACUGACCCAAUAGGUCCUUCAGUCGCUGAGGGUUAGGGUUAGGGUUAGGCUUUGCCCAUAAUAACGACCUGACCCCCAGGAAAUGGCAGCGCAGCUUGUAGUUAUGACAACAGCAACAACAAGAUCACCUUCCCCAUAAACCACGUGGUAGAGAACCAGCCAAGUGUUACCCGAGCAGCUGGCUUCCAACUCUCCACGUGGAGCCCUUUCCCAAUCCAGCACAUUCCAGAGAACCAGAUCAUUCCAUUCUCCGCCGGCCUUCAAACAUUCGCAGGAAUCACAGACGUUGGAAAACUUGGCCAAAAGAGAAAAACGACAAAAGGAGUGAUACAAGGAGGAGCUUGACAUCUACCUGAAAUUCCUCUCAAAGGCCAGUGGGAGCGUGCCACUCCUCUAGCCCAUGGUGUGCACCCACACGGCCUUGUGUUACUGUUAUCUGCUCUCCCCGGGUCACAUGCUUCAAGUAUUGCAAAUCCCUGAGCUUCCCUGGGAAGCUGUGGAGUCCCCACGUCAUGGAUCUCCCAGGACCUUGCACAGACAUUCGUGGGCUCGUCUGCCAGCCAUGAAGCUCCAGGGCAGGUUCACCCGCGAUUGCCAAGGAUGCAGCACAUGGGCUUUGCUUUCGUUGGCCCUUGCCUGGUGCUCUUCCCACAGCAAGACAGCGAAGGGUGUUUUCUUCUGGCUGCUCUUCCUUAGCAGAGAAAACACUGCACCUCCCUCCUUGAGGGUGUGGUGCCUUAGAAUCUCCUGGAGAAUCACAGGGGCAGCCACCUGGGGACAGACCUCCUGCCAAGACUCCCAGGCUCGUUGCUCGCCAUCCUGACUCACCCUCCUAACACCAGGGCAGCUCGGUCAGUCUAUGAGAACGUGGUACUUGUACAGAAGAAAUCCUAGUUGUUUCUAACCAUGUUUUACACUCAGACGCCCUUAACGAGAGAGAAAAAGGUCUGAAAAUGAAAUCAAGACAAUAGGAUGUUUUCAAGAGGGUGAAGGAUACAGGUCAAAGAAUCACGACUAAUUGAUGAUGAAGAUUUUUAAAAAGAGACCUCCCUAAUAGUUCAUCAUUGGUCAAGUUUUUGCUGUGUUCUAGGCCCUAUCCUAAGUGCCUAUGUAGAUUUUCUCAUCAAAUCCUCUCAAAAACUUUUUAAGAGGGUGCAAUUAUUAUCCCCAACGAAAACCGAGAAAACACAGAAGCUCGGUGGGGUUAAGCAACAUGGGAAACUUUGGGCUCCUCUUCAUUCCUUUAAAAUCUGUAUCUGGGUAAAGUCACGUUUUAAAAACCCUGAAGAGGAAAAAAGAAAACAUAAUUUCAACAUGUCCUAGAUUGCAUUUAUAAUAGAAGGGUGUCCGGGCCUGGCUGGAUGAGUGGGAUCUCAAUGCCUUCAGGUGUUGGCUGGAUGAGCCUUCUUCUUUCGCAACCAACUGUUCCUGAAGCCUGGGCUGACGUCGUCAACCAACUCUGAAAGCAAAUAUGUGGUCUGAGUGGUUUCACCCUGGGUCCUGGUCUCACCUCUCAGGCUGGGACCUUCUCUGCUGGAACGGAGGAGGGACAGGAGGUCUAAACAGAAGCAGAAUAGAAAAGCUCAAAGCUGCAGAGGACCAUCAUGAACUGUAUGAGCGCCGCACCACUGUACUGUACCCCCAACACUCAUACAAAAUAAUCUUGAGUGUCAACUGUAUUUAAAAUAAAAUUUUUUUGAUGAAGAA